CCGACGGGGGGCCUGAACCCACAAACCACGAGAUCGUGACCUGAGCCAAAGUGGGACGCUCAACUGACUGAGCCACCCAGGCACAGAAGGCUUUUUAAAGCUCCACUGGCAUCCAGACUCAGCUCUGAGAAUCUCGCCUCCAACUUCCCAGGCAGAAAUACACAUUUCCUCUGUGUUGCCACCGAUCUGGUCGAUACAUCACAUUUCGUCCUCGCGGCCCUAGCUGAUCCGGUUUUUAGACUCAAACCCACUGCUUGGCAUGAAGGACCAUGACCGAUGGCACCACAAACCCCAUCAGGGACGUGAAUUCUUGGUGCCAGUGCUUGGGAACGGGGACGCACCAGGAGCGGGCUCCUAAUGACAGCAGCGCCCCUGGUUCCUCGAGUCUGAGUCGCCCUGGGAAGGUUGACUGUGUCACUGCUAUCGACAGCCCUGAGGUUGUCCCCAGGAGAGGUACCCAGCAGCGCCUAGCACUCCGGAAAGAGCUUGACUUGCCACGUGGAGUUAUUUACAAAAUGACAAUGUGCUGUUCUGUUUCUCUCCUUUGAUUAAAAAAUAAAAUUGAUCUUAAAAAUGAAA